CGAUAUAACGGAAAAGAUGAAACUCUGCUCUCCUCCUUUGGCUUUCUUCUCCAUCAUCCCUGUGACGCAUCUUUCGAUCAUAUCAUCUCUAAAUUCGAAGGGAUUUCUUGGGAAUUCAACUUGAUGAUUGCUACGGUUUAAUCACAAGUGCAUUUGCUUGUAGGGAUGUCAAAUGGGCUGUCCUGGUCCAAAUGGGCUAGCCCAAAUGGACUUAUGGACAUA